AGGGGGAGGCCGGAUCUUCGGCUGUGUCCCGGCGUCCGUUGCUCCCGGUCUGCGCUAUUGGAUUCGCGCUCCUGCCCCGCAGCCCCCU
rnacentral:pre_miRNA from 1 species